UCCGGUUUAACACCGGCGGUCCCAAUAGAGUUCCCGGCCGAACCGUUGGCAACUAUUGGCAAGGGUUGCGCUCGUUGCGGGACUUAACCCAACAUCUCACGACACGAGCUGACGACAGCCAUGCAGCACCUCCACAGCGGUUCCGAAGAAAAGGUACAUUUCUGUACCGGUCCACUGCAGUUCAAACCCAGGUAAGGUUCUUCGCGUUGCGUCGAAUUAAACCACAUGCUCCACCGCUUGUGCGGGCCCCCGUCAAUUCCGUUUGAGUUUUAAUCUUGCGACCGUACUCCUCAGGCGGAGUGCUUAACGCGUUAGCUUUGGCACUGCGGGGGUCAAUACCCACAACACCUAGCACUCAUCGUUUACAGCGUGGACUAC
rnacentral:misc_RNA from 1 species